UUUGCAUCUGGAUAUGUGUUCUGCGAUUCUUGUUGAACAUGAUCACGAUGUUAAGAAACAACUACUCGUGUAAUAUAAAGAACUGAAGCUAACUGAUAGAUGGCUGACUUAAACACCUACUCGUGUACAGGUUACAGUUGCUGUAUUGCAGUUACCUUCUUGGGCAGCUCUACCUCUGUCGUGAACUGUGAUGGUUUUCCCUUGCUCCAUUUGAGGCUUCAGCAACGACGAGCAUGGCCAAGCUAGACACCAAGAUAUGCAAAAAUGGCCCCAACCAGAGUUCAGGCCACCAAGGUUGUGGCCCAUCUCGUGCAGCGAUCAUGUGUACACGGGGUCCUCGGUGGCGGUGGCAAUUCUUUCCUGCAUGGGGAUUCCAGUAACUAUUAGUUAUACGGGAAUAUGUACAUUUCCCCCAUGUUUUCUGUUUGAGGAGAGGUACAAAACAACUUACAUAUACUGCAACUUAUUUUGCUUUACUGUUUAAAUAAUAAGAAAAAGGGAAAAGAGGAGAAGAGGAGUUCGCACCACCCCAAUCCCCUUUUCGACCAACUAGAGGUCAUACCGCGACCUCUUUUCAUCGGCAACUACAUUGGUGUUGACUGCUGCGUCGACUUGAAGCAGGGUGGGACGAUUUGUAUUGUUACUGAAAUCUGACUUUGGUGGUCUCCAGUAAACAAUGGGAACGAUUGUGGAUGAUUUGAUGGCUUGGUUGGUGUGAGAUAGAUUGCAAGAGUUGGAUCUGGAGGCACAAGUCGCAGGAGAGGAGCCUAGGUUCCAAUAAUACUAUGUGCUACAUGAAGGUAAGAAGCCCUUGGCAUGACCGUCGGGACAUUGCCCUGAGACGACGCUCAUCACGGCUCGGAGAUUGCAGGCCACAAUAGAGGCGGCACACUUCAGCUGCUGUGGAAUCAGCAGCAUCUUGUCGGCGAAGCACCUCCCUGGUAUCCACUUGCCCUUCCAAAAGGCAGUGGACACACAGUUAACCACGGAGCACCUGGUGAUGGAGUGGUAGAGAGGUAGACAUUCAACAACAAUUUUUUUCCAGGAACAAUGGUGUAGAAGGCGCUUCUCUAGGUCCCUAGCAGAGUGCUGGCGGAACCAAUCCUUCCACGGGAGGCUCUUAAUUUUAAAGAGUACAGUAUUGGCGACGACGGAGGCUCGCCAGCUGGCCGGACGCAGCGACGAGGAAGACGCUCUGUGGUUGGAAGCAACGGGGGUGACUGGACGCGGCCGAGCGGCAGCAUGGGCUGCAGGGAACGGUGGUGGAGGACGGCAUGCCCGUGGCCUCCCCCUAGGCGCGGGUGGUUGUGCGCGCGCGUGUGUAGGCGUGGCAGCGCGGGGCAGGGCGGCCGAGGCGGCUGGAUGGAGGUCUUCGGGAGGUUGGACCUAGCGGGGAAGGACGGCUCCCCUCCAGGGCGGCUGCUGGAAUGAGAGGAUGCGGGAAGAGGGAGAGAAGGGGUGGGAUCGGCCUUCCCGCCCCCGAGCGACACUGGUGGCCAACCACGUCGAGCUAGCUAACGUUUGGGUGUCGUGAAGAUUCACCGACAGCAACAAGCCAACAACACGCAUCAUUGGUUUUCAUGGACUCCAUGGCUGUUAUUUGUCUUUGCUUCAACGUUUAUUCCCUUCUCUUCUCGCCCACGCAAUCUGGUUGGUGUUGAUCUGUUCGUCUGUUGCUUGCUUCUUCGGGAUAUUUAUUGUUGCCUCUUCUGCUCUCGGAAUAGAGGCCAUAUAAUAAAAGGCGAAGAGCGGCGGUAAGGAGUCAUGCUUACGACCGUGCUCAUGGUUAUGACCUUGUGUUUAAAAUUAAGCAUUUUCAACAUCUAUUCAUGCACUCUGCUGUGGACUGGAACUUGCUGUGUAAAGUUUAAGUUUAUAUCUUUUCAUUAUGUUUGCUUAAAAAGAAGUGUGAACAAUGUAUAGGGUAGGCAUGUUGGCAGCACCUGCGCAACAUGGAAAAGAGCAGCUUUGCUAAAAUAUUCAUGCUAACCAGUUUCGUUUGAUGUCACCACUAACAUGAUGCAUCUUAACUUCCUAAUUUGGCUAAGGGGUAAAUAAAUUCAUGUUUAUGUACGUCUCGACUCCUUAUAAUGGUGAGCAACGAGCCUGAAAUGCCACCUGGUAUUUCUUUUGUCAUUAGCAUUUAGUAGUCAUAUGACCGGUAUCUUGCCUAGAGAGAUGCAAGGAAUUUCAAUAAUUGGUUUAAAGGUCCUUCGUAUACAUGAUACCUACCUUUAUUUUCUUAUUAUCUCUAUAAUUAUUUACUUGUGACAAGUUGAAUAAAUGUCUGAUUUAGUAUAUUCAAAUGGACAUUUAAUUUAGGUUCACGAUAAGUGAAAUUGCAUUUUUAUGAUGCUAACAUCAUGAAGUUACCUUACCUUAAUCUGCAAAGUGCACAUUCUAUUUUCUAAUAGUAUUGAUGGCUUUCUAGCACAUAUCAUUAUCGUUAUUUCUGAAGUACAUUUCUUUAAGAUUUCCUAUUAUUUCUGUAAAUGUAUUGUGUUAGGAUUCUGAAAUGAGUCUUAGAUUGUGAAAUGUUUAAUUUGUUUUGUCCUCU